AACUGCAUGGUACACAGGAAUUUAAUGUACACGUGGCUGCAAGCCCUUUCUCUUCCCUCUCCUACAUGCUAAUGGCAGUUUGCUUCUGCCUUCAAGCUAGAACCAUAUAGUUGCUCUACUUCCAUCAUUUCAUCUCUGGAUUUCUUCUCCACUGACCAUGUAUGUGCACCUUGCUAAAUGCUUCUAAUGAUUCUUAGCAUACUAGGUACACUUUUCACUUUUCCUGUAAGUUUCAGCUUUCUUGUAAAACGCAGGCUAUAACUCUCUGGAAAUCUCCUUUCCUUUCAUCUGGAAAAGUUAACUCAGUGAUGUCUUAGGUAGUAGUUCAUCUGUUUAGAGUUAUUUGGGGGCAUUUUUACAGCUAACUCCUUGUUCCAAACCAAAAAGCUGGACUCUACACAAAGUUUACUGUGAAAUAGUUAAACUUUGCUUUUACACAUAUUACUAAGCUCAAAGAACGCAAAAAAGUUUAAGAGUUGCAUGUUUUAAAAGUGUAUUGGCUGCAAAAUAGCUCCAGGUUCUGCUUCCCCGAUAAUUACUGUUCCAGUCCCCAUCUCUUAAUAACUGUUUUUAGAAAUGAAUCGGCUAUCACAUACACAUGGCAGCAAUCCAACUGCAGAAAAACGUAAUAAAACACCCAGACAAUUCAGUUCACAAAAAAAUAAAUCUCAGAAAAAUCAUAAAUUCAGUUAACACAUGAGCACUUUCUAAGCAUUCGCUAGAGCAAUGAAGAAGGACGGCAAUGGUUACACAGUUAGCACAUCUGAGUAACUACUUUUCAAUGCGACCUCUGGGAAUCCAAGUUCAGUACUCUUAAGGUUAAAAAACACAACAAAACCCUGAGCUUUUAAAACUACAAGUUCAUUUAGUGUGGGAUUACCCACAUCUAUACUUGGAGCCAAGGACUCUUGAGAGCAGACUGCUUGAACCUUACUCUGAUUCUCUCCCCAGGAAAAUCCUACAUACGUGCAGCGCAGAAACAGAAGCAACUAGUCAGGUGUCUUUUAACAAAUACGCUGCAGAGGAAACGAGGGAACCUAACCUGCUUACUAAAGGAUCAACAGCAAAAGCUUAAAAAAAAAAAAAAAAGAAAAAACCACGAGAAAAGUAUUUUUAUUUUUGCCUAAACAGGCUGCAUAUCAUGCUGGGCACUCCUACUGCCAAAAAUCUGCCAUCAUUUUAUUUUGAACAUGUUGUCCCUUGGUCUCUGAAUCUCUGCAGUGUUUGUGGGUGGGUGUGGAUAUGGAUAUGAAUGUGGUUGUGCAUUCCUUUGUAUGCAUUUAUUUUGAAAAAUUUAGGGGUUGGAUUAAAAGCAAAACUUUUUCUCAGAUGAGAGGGAAUAAGGUUUAAUCAUUACUAUUUUCCAGACCCUUUCACCAUUUUUCCACAAUUAAAACUUAUUAUGGGGACUUUUGUUUAAACAUGGAGGAUUGAAACAUGCAAUUAACAAUUUCCAUACCCUCUUCUAAGCUCCCAUAAAAUGGCAGCAAAAUAAUUUUAACAAAAAGGCUUAAACAAUAAACACAAAACCGAAAAGAAUAGGAAGGAGAUU
ensembl:lncRNA